rnacentral:lncRNA from 10 species
GCAGGAACAGACAGACAGUGAGAGCUACAGCCUGGGAGACGUGUAAGAACAUGUCAACCUUGAUGUUACUCCACAAAUCGUAGGCUGUGACUCACGUAGCGUUCUUGCCUGUUCUGGAGGGCUGCCUUUGGUUGUCUUGCUGGAGCACGAAUACCCUUUCCCUAUGGUAUCUAAGCCUUGCAUCUGGGGUGUGAGAAUGCAGAGCUCCACCUGUCUUGUGGCCACCCAAGAUCCCACUUCGGUCUGUAAAUUCCCUCAAUAAAUCACCCAAUAUUGACAAACUGGAU